rnacentral:rRNA from 1 species
CAUGCCGUAAACGAUGUCUACUAGCCGUUGGGGGAUUUGAUCCUUUAGUGGCGCAGCUAAUGCGAUAAGUAGACCGCCUGGGGAGUACGGUCGCAAGACUAAAACUCAAAUGAAUUGACGGGGGCCCGCACAAGCGGUGGAGCAUGUGGUUUAAUUCGAUGCAAUGCGAAGAACCUUACCUGGCCUUGAUAUAGUAGAAACUUUCCAGAGAUGGAUUGGUGCCUUCGGGAAUCUACAUACAGGUGC